GAGGGGGACCUCAUGCGGCAGCGUGCUGUGAGUGAAGAGUUGCACUGUGAAUGGAUCGACGGGCAGCGAUCGAUCCAGUGGGGGUCUAGUGUAGAUGCGAUAAAUUGACCACUAAGCGCUCUCUUUUCAACUCCGGUAUUCUACUGGAGUGAGAGUCGCAGGCGGAGUCAACGGGGGAGCAUCAGCUGUUGGCUCACCACAGUAAAGACACCGCGAUCGGAAAAUGGAGCGGAGAGCAUACGUAAUGCAGUCUUUGAUAGAGCCAGGAAGAGAACAGCCCUGAUUGCCAGUAACGUGCUUCGACCACAAAGCCAUGUUUCCUGUGUUAAUAACAUGAGAUCUCAUUAUCUAACUCUUUUAAAGCUUAGCUGAGAGCACAGAGUUUUGGAUUUUUUUGUGAGAUUUAUGAGAUGUAUGCAUUAGUGAAGUAAAAAUUAGCAAGUUUCUCCUGUAGUUUAAAAAAACACAUUAUAAUAAAAAGAAAGUCUGAGACAAACCAUGGUAUGCAUCAUGUUGAAGGAA